rnacentral:rRNA from 1 species
CUGGCGGCAGGCCUAACACAUGCAAGUCGAGCGGCAGCACGGGAGCUUGCUCCUGGUGGCGAGCGGCGGACGGGUGAGUAAUGCCUAGGAAUCUGCCUGAUAGUGGGGGAUAACGUUCGGAAACGGACGCUAAUACCGCAUACGUCCUACGGGAGAAAGUGGGGGACCUUCGGGCCUCACGCUAUCAGAUGAGCCUAGGUCGGAUUAGCUAGUUGGUGGGGUAAUGGCUCACCAAGGCGACGAUCCGUAACUGGUCUGAGAGGAUGAUCAGUCACACUGGAACUGAGACACGGUCCAGACUCCUACGGGAGGCAGCAGUGGGGAAUAUUGGACAAUGGGCGCAAGCCUGAUCCAGCCAUGCCGCGUGUGUGAAGAAGGUCUUCGGAUUGUAAAGCACUUUAAGUUGGGAGGAAGGGCUGUGCACGAAUACUGUGCAGUUUUGACGUUACCGACAGAAUAAGCACCGGCUAACUCUGUGCCAGCAGCCCGCGGUAAUACAGAGGGUGCAAGCGUUAAUCGGA